CCACUCCCUUCCUCAGGGGUGAGUUGCUGGGAAGAAAUGUGCUGUCUUGCCUGAUAGGCUCUUUGAAAGUCAGGCCUCCUGGUCUACAAGUCUUUUUUUUAAAGUAUGCUUUUUGGUGAGGAUGAUUGGCCCUGAGCUAACAUCUGUUGCCAAUCUUCCUCUUUGUGUUUUUUCCUCCCCAAAGCCCCAGUACAUAGUUGUAUUUCCCCGUUAUAGGUCAUUCUAGUUCUUCUAAGUGGGAUGUGGUCACAGCAUGGCUUGAUGAGCAGUGUGUACAUCUGUGACCAGGAUCCGAACCUGCGAACCCCGGGCUGCUGAAGCAGAGUGUGUGAAUUUAACCACUCGGCUACGGGGCAGCCCCAAGUCUGGAAGUCUUUCUGGAAUGAAAUUUACCUGCCUGAACAGCCCAUGUUUAGUAUUUAUGGCUCUGCCCUAACUACAUCUUCUCUGAAGAAAUUAGUAAAAGAAGGAGUAGAUGACGUUUGCUCAGCUUCAACCCUAGGAAUAGAAGAAGGAGCUUUCCAAAUUCAAAUCUGAGCAUUCACUCCCAGGUUGCCUCCCCUGCCCCCCGCCCUGGGGCUCCCCAUCCUCAGAAGGAAGUCCAAUGUCCUUAUGAAGCCUUUUAAGUCCCCAGAGUCCUAGCUCCUGCCUCCUUUCCCAGUGUUACCCCGACCAUUCUGUUUCUCUCGCUCUAUCUUCCCACCUUCUCUUGGCCAUCUGGGACUCUCUCCCAGGGCUGGGAGUUCUCUCCUCCCUUCCCCUUGCCCCGGUCUUUGGCAGGUGAACGCGUUCCUAUCGUCAUCUCUCACGUCUCAGUUUAACUAUGAUUGACUCUUGGAGAUCCUACCUGGGACAGGGCUUCUUCUGUUCACAUUCCCUGAGCCUUCCAAGUCCCCCCAACUCUUGCACCUCGUUGUAAUGUGCCUUUAAUGCCUGGCCUCCCUGCGGGCGGGGGCUGUGUCUGUCUUGUGCACAUGGUGGCCUUUCUGCUUAGAUUUUAGAGUGAAAUUUAGAGGAUCUCUUUAACUUGUUUCUUUUUUCUUUCUUCUUCUCCCCAAAGCUUCCCCCCGCCCCCCAGUACAUCGUUGUAUAUUCUAGUUGUGAGUGCCUCUGGUUGUGCUAUGUGGGACGCCGACUCAGCAUGGCCUGAUGUUCGGUACCACGUCCGUGCCCAGGAUCCAAAUCAGUGAAACCUCAGUCGACUGAUGUGGAGUGUGCCAACUUAACCACUAGGCCAUGGGACCGACCCCUAACUUGUUUCUUUGACUCUGGUAAUUGUUGAAAUGAACAGGGCCUGUGGCUAGGAAGGGGAAGGUGAGAUAACGGUAACUAUGACAGAAAUAUUUUUAAGCUCUUACCUAUGUCAGGCUCUGCUCUAGGCUCUUUACGUAAAUGAUCUCAUUUAAGCCCCACAAUUGCUAUUAUUAUCUUCACUCUGCAGUCAGUCUUGGGGUGGGGUGAGCAAUGAGUAUUAGGUGGGAAGAAAAUCAAGAAGAUGGUGGGAACUUGAAGUAAAAAGAAAAGCAGGCUCAAUCUGGGGGUCUGCUCCAAGAAAGGGAAAGGGCCCCAGGACGCUGGCGUCCAGGCUGGGAAGUGCUUCUGGUUGCUUUGUUAACAACAGAUAGGGUUUACGUGGCGCUAGUCAAAUGCUGGGUGUUGGGCUAAUAGUGCUUUAUAUGCAUACCUCAUCUCAUCUGCACGACAGCUCACUGAGGAAAAGGAACUUCAGCACAGUUAGGUCACCUGCUCAGUGUCACCCAGCUGACAGCUGCCUUCGUGCCUUCUUGCUGUGUCCUCACAUGGUGGAGAGACUGAGAGCACUGGUCUCUUCUUCUUCUUAUAAGGACACUUGUAUAGUCCCAUUGAGGGGGCCUUACCUUCAUGACCUCAUCUGAAUCCAGUUACCUCCCAAAGGACUUAUCUCCACAUACCAUCACACUGGGGAUUAGGGCUUCAACAUAUGAAUCUUAGGGGACAUGAACAUUCAUUCCAAAACAACCCCAAAGUCCGCUUGCUCACUGGGGCAUUCCAAGAUGGUCAGUGAAGCACCAAGUUCUAAUUCACUUCUUGGGUGUAGCCGAAUGCAUUUACUUGAAGCACUGAGGCUGUGUUAGGGAUUUAUACAAAUGAUACACCACCCAGAUCAGCAAGUCUAAGUCUGUAAGGGCACUGCAGAACCUGACUUUGUCCCAGUAAAAGACAGACAAUUUUAACUGAGAUCCCUCAGUCUGGAGGCCACCAGAGAAUUCCUUGAGCUCAGCCUGGUCUCUUGAAUCGAAGAUAUUUGGGGCUAGUGCCCCAAGUAAUUUCUCUGCUCCCUGGCUGAGCCUCCUCCCUCUGAUAUCCACAAAUCCCAGCCUCUUCUAUAAAAGUAAAAAUUCUCUUUCUCAAGCUGAGCCUUCUGCCGCAGUCACAUGCCCAAGGUCUAUUCUUUCCUGCAGUUUCUUCUUCCUGAGCCAUUCCAUCUCUCCAGAUAUGGUGACCAACUCAUCCCUGUUUGCCUGAGACUUUCCUGGUUUUAACACUGGAAACCCUUUGUCUUAGGUCCCCAUUCCAUCCAAGUCAACAUGGACAGGUGGCCACUCUACACCAGAAGAGGGCAGAGGAAUGUUUUUUCUCAUCCAGAUACCAUUUCUUCAGCUCUCAAUGUAUGCAGCCUGUCUGAUUGUGUGGCAAACUUUCACCAACGUCCCAGAAAUUAGCAGGUUAACAGCGAAAAAUUUACUUGUUCAUAGUUGACUUGUUUCGUGCCCGCAUGUCCCCUUUUGGACACUAGAUGGCGGCCUCUCCCCCCUGGUUUAAAGAAAGAGGACCAGUAUCACUCAACGGGCCUUUUGGAAGUGCUAGCCAUCUGGGAAAACCAUGGGCCAGAGGAUUAAAAGAGAGAGAGAGAUGUGAAAUAUAUGUAUUUGUGGGACAGACUGGAAUAAGCAGAUUAGUGAAAUGGCAAGUGAUAAAAAGCAAAAAAUGUCAGAUUUGGCUUAAAAUUCAAGCAUUUAGAAUUUAGGAUGGCAAGAAAGGCAUGCUGUUUCACUGCAAAGUGGGUCUAAUUUCACCAUCUGAUCCAAAUAACACAUCCAUUGUGAAUAAAUUGUAUAAAGGAGGAAAAAAGCUAACUGGAGUUAGAGAAGCCAAACGCAUGGAACAGAAGACCUUCUGGGUCGAUUUAAUUACAGCUUCGGUUCUCUGGGUGAGUGAACAGCAUAAUAGAGAAGACAUCGAUCCCUUCAGGUGUGUUUAACCAGGCUGGGCUGACUGGUUGAAGACAGGCCGACAAAGCUUGCAGCAGAGGCCCCUUGUGAGGCUGAAUGACUCAUACCACCUGCAGAGAGCACAGUUGCCAUGAGCUUGCUCAUCCUCCUCAAGGAGCUAAAUUUACAUUCUGAGAAAAGAACACUGUGGUGCUGGAGCUGGCGGGAGGGAGCAGGGAGGAGAUGGGAAAGGAAAAUGGCAUCAUCUUGGGGUGAGUCCCAGCUGAUUUUAAAUGGAAUCACAUGAUGAGGGAUUCGUGAGCGAGGCCAAGGGAUGUUUUAUGGAGAAAGUAGUAUCUGAACAACUCUAGUUUUGUCUUUAAGCAUCUGCCCCCCCCCCCUUAAAUCUCAGGAAAUACUAACAUUGAAUGUAUGAAACCCAGAAAUUAUGCUACUGCCCACCCCCCAUCAAAACUUGAGUUAAGGAUGAGCACACUGCCCUUCACAAGCCAUACUCGUUAACUCAGAGAAUGAUGGAGCUGGACUGGCCCUCACUGGCCCAGCGGUCCAGGGGCUUUUCAAACUGUUGGAGAGUCCUAGCUCUCCACAGGGUUACCCAGGGGUAACCUUAGACAGUGAUGCAUUUGAUUCUGCACAUAGAAUAUUUAAAAUGUCUCAAGAAACUAUCACUUUUAUUAUGGGCUCUGGAAAAAUUUGGUUUGAAAAAAAUCUCUUAUUAAACAUACAAAUUUGAAGCCCACAGAUCAAUUUUUUAGGCCCAGAGGGAUGAAAUCAAACAACGGCUUUCCCUAGAGCUGAUGAUGCAGGGUGAGUAAACCCAAGUGGACAUGGUUGUUCCUGGCAGAGCCUAAUCAGAAGAUACACAUUUCCUGUCCUGCAUCCCAAGUCCUUUGAAUUCAGAGGAACAAGUCAAAAGAGGUCUCCAAAGUUAUGAGCCUGGAGUGGAGUCACCAGUGUCGGCGACGAGGAAAUUUUGAGGAGAGAACUCUGGAGAGGCGUCACCAAAUGUGCUGCAGCUCAGACGUUGACGAUAACCUCGUCCUUCAGAGAUUGCGAGUUCAAUACCUAAAGAAGUUGUAUCUGCUUUUUCUUAGACUCUUCGGCACUAGAGGAAGGUUUUCACUCUUGUGCCCUGCAGGUGGGAGUCUGAUAGGCCAUGAGCUGAGGACAGCCCUGAACUGCAGGACUGUUGGGAAUGUCCCAGACUGGAUAGAAAUGUGAUGUAAGUUGUGAGGGUAGUAGAGUGGAAGGUGUGCUGAACAGAAGGAAAAGAGACCUGGACCCCUUAAUACCUCUGAGACUCAGUUUCUUCACCUGAAACAUUAGUGAUAAUAAUAGGGAUUCUACCUACCACUUAGGGUUGUUUUGAGAAACAAAUCAAAUUAUACAUGUGACCAGGUGUUUUAAAAUAGAAAGUUGAAUAUUAAAAGUAGCUGACAGGGGCUGGCCCCAUGACUGAGUGGUUAAGUUUGCACACUCCACUUCAGCAGUCCAGGGUUUGCCAGUUAGAAUCCUGGGCACGGACCUAAACACUGCUCAUAAAGCCAUGCUGUGGUGGCAUCCUAUGUAGAAGAACUAGAAUGACUUACAACAAGGAUAUACAACUAUGUACUGGGGCUUUGGGGAAUUAAAAAAAAAGAGGAAGAUUGGCAACAGAUGUUAGCUCAGGGCCAAUCUUCCUCGCCAAAAAAAGAAAAAGGAAAAGGAAAAAGCAUUAAAAACAUCCAGUUAAAAAAAAAAAGUAGCUGACAAUUUUUGAGCACUUACUAUGUUAAGCACUUUACCACGGCCAGUUCUCACAGAAGGACCUGUAAUGAGCAAUGACACCUUAACACAAUGAAUGUGGGAGUCCUACAUUGUACUAGCUAAGAGCAGGAACUUUGGUAUCACCCAGACCUGGGUUUGAUCCUCUCUCUGACGGUUCCCACCGUUGUGUGAGGCUGAAUGGGUUACUUAACGCCUCUGAAUUUCAGUUUUCUCAAAGGCUUAUAGGAUUGCGGUUGUACAGAUUAAACAAGAUAAUGCAUAUAAACCAUUUAGCAAAAUUGCUUAUCAAUUGCUUACAAAUAUCAGAUUAAAAAGGAUACUUUUAUGUGAACUUCUGUUGAGUUUCUGUCCCAGACACUAGGGAUAUAUUAACAUCAAUAGGACAUUGUGCCUGUGUCUGCCCUUGAAGUGUUUGCCACCUAAUUGGGAGGUAAGACAUCAAGAUGGGCAGAUCACUAACAUGAGGCAGUCAGUAAAAAAUAACAAGUUAGUGAUCCAAACUUUAUAUAUUUUAAGGAAUUUAGAGCAAGGAGAGAAGUAGUUACAGGGUAGGGGCAGGGAGCAGAGCAGGAAGAUUUUUUGCAAAGCCAAUUAUAUGUCCAUACAUUUGAGUUUUUUGUCCCCAUCAAGGCAACCAUGUAGGGUAACUCAGGGAUAAUCCCAACAUCUGGUCCUUGUUUACUCAGGUUUCCUGCAGGUCUCUCCUAUUUUGGGUUCAGUUUGUAUGGAUUGACCUUGGCUGUUUGUGGGUAUAACAUGGAGUAGAGCAGAGCUGCUCAAACUUGAGUGUGCUCAAGAUCAGCUGGAAGGCUGUUAAAAAGUCCAUAGACCCCACCUCAAGAGAUUCUGAUUCAGUAGGUCUGGGGUGGAGCCCAGAGGUUUGUACGUGGGUCUGGGGACCACACACUGCGAGCAAUGCUGGAAUGAGAGUGGUCAAGGGCUGCGCUGGGACUGGAGCACACACCUGGGUCACCUGUUUCCUGGUGUGAUCUCCAAUUUGUUCCUAGAACACGGACUUGUCUCUGUUCAAACAACCCUACUGCUUGCCUCUUGGGUGACCUGGGAAGAGCUUCUCAGUCUCUCAGAACAUCCAUUUCCUCACUUGAAAAUGGAAAUGACAUCUACAACACAGGGUUGCAGAGAGAAUUAAUGAGAUAAUAUAAGGAGAAGCAUAUUGCACAGUGCCUGCUUGCCUCAAGCCUCCCCUCCCCUGCCACAGAACCCACCAAUCUCUCCUUCCUGACAUCUCUGAACUCUGUCUCUCGCCUGCCAUCCCAAUGCGUAUGUCUGUCCCUAUCUGUUGUGGCUGAUUCCUUCUGGUCCUGUAGCCUCUUCCAAGACUUGGCCUGACACACCUAACUUACAGGUCUGUCAGAACUCUUCUCAUUGACCCAACACCUAG
rnacentral:lncRNA from 1 species